UGGGGAAUAUUGGACAAUGGGCGAAAGCCUGAUCCAGCCAUGCCGCGUGUGUGAAGAAGGUCUUCGGAUUGUAAAGCACUUUAAGUUGGGAGGAAGGGCAUUAACCUAAUACGUUAGUGUUUUGACUUUACCGACAGAAUAAGCACCGGCUAACUCUGUGCCAGCAGCCGCGGUAAUACAGAGGGUGCAAGCGUUAAUGGGAAUUACUGGGCGUAAAGCGCGCGUAGGUGGUUUGUUAAGUUGGAUGUGAAAUCCCCGGGCUCAACCUGGGAACUGCAUUCAAAACUGACUGACUAGAGUAUGGUAGAGGGUGGUGGAAUUUCCUGUGUAGCGGUGAAAUGCGUAGAUAUAGGAAGGAACACCAGUGGCGAAGGCGACCACCUGGACUAAUACUGACACUGAGGUGCGAAAGCGUGGGGAGCAAACA
rnacentral:rRNA from 1 species